rnacentral:rRNA from 1 species
CCCUUAGAUGUUCUGGGCGGCCCGCGCACUACAAUGGCGUGUGCAGCGAGUGCCGAAGUAGAGUUUUCCGAGGUAUUCUUGCAAUGCUCGUUUUGAUGGGGAUAGACCCUUGCAACUGUUGGUUUUGAACGAGGAAGUCCUUGUAAGCAUGGUUUAUCAUCCGACGCUGAAUGCGUCCCUGCCCUUUGUACACACCGCCCGUCGCUCCUACCGAUGAGUCGUCCGGUGAAGUUCGUAGACCUCGUGAUCGCGGAUCACUGGGGGAAGCAAAAUGAACCUCGCGGUUUAGAGGAAGGAGAAGUCGUAACA